UGGGGAAUAUUGGACAAUGGGCGAAAGCCUGAUCCAGCCAUGCCGCGUGUGUGAAGAAGGUCUUCGGAUUGUAAAGCACUUUAAGUUGGGAGGAAGGGCAGUAAGUUAAUACCUUGCUGUUUUGACGUUACCGACAGGAUAAGCACCGGCUAACUCUGUGCCAGCAGCCGCGGUAAUACAGAGGGUGCAAGCGUUAAUCGGAAUUACUGGGCGUAAAGCGCGCGUAGGUGGUUUGUUAAGUUGGAUGUGAAAGCCCCGGGCUCAACCUGGGAACUGCAUCCAAAACUGGCAAGCUAGAGUACGGUAGAGGGUGGUGGAAUUUCCUGUGUAGCGGUGAAAUGCGUAGAUAUAGGAAGGAACACCAGUGGCGAAGGCGACCACCUGGACUGAUACUGACACUGAGGUGCGAAAGCGUGGGGAGCAAACAGGAUUAGAUACCCCCGUAGUCCCUGAGCGGGCUGGCAAGGCGCAU
rnacentral:rRNA from 1 species